rnacentral:rRNA from 1 species
AUUGAACGCUGGCGGCAGGCCUAACACAUGCAAGUCGGACGGUAGCACAGAGGAGCUUGCUCCUUGGGUGACGAGUGGCGGACGGGUGAGUAAUGUCUGGGGAUCUGCCCGAUAGAGGGGGAUAACCACUGGAAACGGUGGCUAAUACCGCAUAACGUCGCAAGACCAAAGAGGGGGACCUUCGGGCCUCUCACUAUCGGAUGAACCCAGAUGGGAUUAGCUAGGAGGCGGGGUAAUGGCCCACCUAGGCGACGAGCCCUAGCUGGUUUGAGAGGAUGACCAGCCACACUGGAACUGAGACACGGUCCAGACUCCUACGGGAGGCAGCAGUGGGGAAUAUUGCACAAUGGGCGCAAGCCUGAUGCAGCCAUGCCGCGUGUAUGAAGAAGGCCUUCGGGUUGUAAAGUACUUUCAGCGGGGAGGAAGGCGAUGCGGUUAAUAACCGCGUCGAUUGACGUUGCCCGCAGAAGAAGCACCGGCUAACUCCGUGCCAGCCGUCGCUGUAA